rnacentral:rRNA from 1 species
AGAGUUUGAUCCUGGCUCAGAACGAACGCUGGCGGCGUGCCUAACACAUGCAAGUCGAACGGAGUGAAGGAGCUUGCUCUUUCAUUUAGUGGCGCACGGGUGAGUAACGCGUAGAUAAUCUGCCUUGGACUCUGGGAUAACAUCUCGAAAGGGGUGCUAAUACCAGACAAGCCCACGAUGGCGUAAGUCAUUGCGGGAAAAGGGGGCCUCUGAAUAUGCUCCUGAUUCAAGAUGAGUCUGCGUACCAUUAGCUAGUUGGUAGGGUAAGAGCCUACCAAGGCGACGAUGGUUAGCUGGUCUGAGAGGAUGAUCAGCCACACUGGAACUGAGACACGGUCCAGACUCCUACGGGAGGCAGCAGUGGGGAAUUUUGCGCAAUGGGGGAAACCCUGACGCAGCAACGCCGCGUGAGUGAUGAAGGCUUUCGGGU